GUGAGUGGUGAUGGAGAGAACAACACUUGGAGUCGGCGGCGGUGCGUGGGUGAAGGGACAGGACAGCGCAUCCACAGAACCCAGAAUGAACCCGACACCUUCCCUAUUGCUGUGGCUGUGUGUUCUGUGGGUCCUGUGGGUGAUUAUCGCAGCGCAGGACGAACAAGGCCACACCGAGGACCAGGAUGUACAAGACCCACAAAAACAGGACGCGCAGGAAAAGAACAAGAGUGGCUGGAUUCUGAGCCGGCACUCGAGGAUGAAGGAUAUCGGUGACCUUGAGAUGGCAUCCGCGGGGGAGAAGGAUUUCCUCGCCUUCAUUUCCCACGACUUUGAUGACGACGAAUACUUGGACGGCACGGAGCUCCUGCAGGCUUUUACGGGAGGCUUGGGUGUGAGGCGGCCGUUGGUGGAGGUGGAGAACACGGUGGACUUCCUUCUCCACCACCACGAUGAGAACCAGGACGGGAAACUCUCCUUCUUCGAGUUCUCCAAGUCCUUCCUCCCUCCCAGCCGCGUCCUCCCAUCUCCCUGAUCUCCUCUCUCUCUUUCCUCCUUUCUCUUCUUGUCAUUCAUUCCUUCCUUCUGUCCCUAAGCUUCUAACUACUUACAUCGCUUACUUCUCCUUUUUCUUCCCUAUGUAAUCUUCCUCUUUCCUUUCUCCUGUUUCCUUUCAUCACUAUUCUUUCUUCUUUGCCGUUUUUCCCUUUUUUUUCCCUACGCCUUUAACAACCCUUUUUUUCUUCCUACUUUCUGGGGCGUAUUACUAAACAUUUCGCCGCCCAAGAACACAUAUUUGACAAGGCUUUCGUAGGAGUUUGGGGCAUUUCCAGUAGUUUUAUGAUCCUGGUGGUAGUCUAACCCUUCCUCUGUACCGUGAACCUAAAGAAACACUCAUCAGAACCCGAUUGAUCUCCUCUUUGGCCUUUAGAAACAGCUGAUGUAAGAAGCGAAAGUCUUCUAAUAUCGUCCACGGCCGUAUUACUAAACAUUUUUUUUAGGUCGGUAUUAUAAGAAACUUUCGCUUCUCACAUACACAAUUUCUAAAGGUUAAGGAAGGGGUCAGUCGGGUUCUAAUGAGUGUUUCCUUAGGUUCACGGUACAGAAGAAGGGUCAAACUAACACCAGGGUCAUAAAACUGCUCCUGGAAAUGCCCACAACUCCUACGAAAGCCUUGUCAAAUAUGUGUUCUUGGGCUGCGAAAUGUCUUAUAAUACGCACGAAUUGUUCCAUAUUCUUCAACUACGACUACUUGCCAAGGUUACAGAGAGGCUUAACCGGGUUUCAUAGUUUUUUUCCCCGUUUAUGGUCCAGAAGUCAUGCAAAACUAUCACAAGCAUCACAAAACACUCUAUGAAAAUCCGGGCAACGUCUGUCCCCAAUAACCAAACUAUAUUAUAUUUCUGACUGGCUACAAUGAGUCUCACGUAAGCGCAUGUUCUCUCUCCUCUUAACUGCCUAUAGCAUUUACCUGUCGGAACCAUUCUUAUCAUCUGUCUCCUUACGUCCCUACACCAUCACGACCACUGUCACCAUCACCAUCAUCGCCAUCUCUCUCGUACUGAAAGGAUUUGAAGUUUGUUUUUAAGAUUAAUAAUAAAAUGU